rnacentral:rRNA from 1 species
UACGAAGGGGGCGAGCGUUGUUCGGAAUUACUGGGCGUAAAGGGCGCGCAGGCGGCUCUUCAAGUCAGGCGUGAAAGCCCCGGGCUUAACCUGGGAAUUGCGCUUGGGACUGGAGGGCUUGAGUACGGGAGAGGAGAGUGGAAUUCCCAGUGUAGAGGUGAAAUUCGUAGAUAUUGGGAAGAACACCGGUGGCGAAGGCAGCUCGCUGGGACGUUACUGACGCUGAGACGCGAAAGCGUGGGGAGCAAACAGG